AUUGAACGCUGGCGGCAUGCCUUACACAUGCAAGUCGAACGGCAGCGGGGGAGAAGCUUGCUUUUCCUGCCGGCGAGUGGCGAACGGGUGAGUAAUACAUACGAACGUGCCCUGUAGUGGGGGAUAACUAGUCGAAAGAUUAGCUAAUACCGCAUACGACCUGAGGGUGAAAGUGGGGGACCGCAAGGCCUCAUGCUAUAGGAGCGGCCGAUGUCUGAUUAGCUAGUUGGUGGGGUAAAGGCCUACCAAGGCGACGAUCAGUAGCUGGUCUGAGAGGACGAGCAGCCACACUGGGACUGAGACAGGGCCAGGACUCCUACGGGAGGCAGCAGUGGGGAAUUUUGGACAAUGGGCGAAAGUCUGAUCCAGCAAUGCCGCGUGUGUGAAGAAGGCCUUCGGGUUGUAAAGCACUUUUGUCCGGAAAGAAAUGGCUCUGGUUAAUACCUGGGGUCGAUGACGGUACCGAAAGAAUAAGGACCGGCUAACUACGUGCCAGCCGCCGCCGUAA
rnacentral:rRNA from 1 species